rnacentral:rRNA from 1 species
CCUAAGGUAGCGAAAUUCCUUGUCGGGUAAGUUCCGACCUGCACGAAUGGCGUAAUGAUGGCCAGGCUGUCUCCACCCGAGACUCAGUGAAAUUGAACUCGCUGUGAAGAUGCAGUGUACCCGCGGCAAGACGGAAAGACCCCGUGAACCUUUACUAUAGCUUGACACUGAACAUUGAGCCUUGAUGUGUAGGAUAGGUGGGAGGCUUUGAAGUGUGGACGCCAGUCUGCAUGGAGCCGACCUUGAAAUACCACCCUUUAAUGUUUGAUGUUCUAACGUUGGCCCGUAAUCCGGGUUGCGGACAGUGUCUGGUGGGUAGUUUGACUGGGGCGGUCUCCUCCUAAAGAGUAACGGAGGAGCACGAAGGUUGGCUAAUCCUGGUCGGACAUCAGGAGGUUAGUGCAAUGGCAUAAGCCAGCUUGACUGCGAGCGUGACGGCGCGAGCAGGUGCGAAAGCAGGUCAUAGUGAUCCGGUGGUUCUGAAUGGAAGGGCCAUCGCUCAACGGAUAAAAGGUACUCCGGGGAUAACAGGCUGAUACCGCCCAAGAGUUCAUAUCGACGGCGGUGUUUGGCACCUCGAUGUCGGCUCAUCACAUCCUGGGGCUGAAGUAGGUCCCAAGGGUAUGGCUGUUCGCCAUUUAAAGUGGUACGCGAGCUGGGUUCAGAACGUCGUGAGACAGUUCGGUCCCUAUCUGCCGUGGGCGCUGGAGAACUGAGGGGGGCUGCUCCUAGUACGAGAGGACCGGAGUGGACGCAUCACUGGUGUUCGGGUUGUCAUGCCAAUGGCACUGCCCGGUAGCUAAAUGCGGAAGAGAUAAGUGCUGAAAGCAUCUAAGCACGAAACUUGCCCCGAGAUGAGUUCUCCCUGACUCCUUGAGAGUCCUGAAGGAACGUUGAAGACGACGACGUUGAUAGGCCGGGUGUGUAAGCGCAGCGAUGCGUUGAGCUAACCGGUACUAAUGAACCGUGAGGCUUAACCUU